UAGCAUGAAGUCAGACAAGUGAACCCGCUGAAUUUAAGCAUAUCUAAAGCGGGGAGGA
rnacentral:rRNA from 1 species